rnacentral:rRNA from 1 species
AACGAACGUUGGCGGCGUGGAUUAGGCAUGCAAGUCGUACGCGAAAGAGGGGGCAACUCCUCGAGUAAAGACGGCGAACGGGUGAGUAACGCGUAGGAAACCUGCCUUCGAGAUGGGGAGUAACACUCCUAACGGGGUGCUAAUACCGAAUGACACUGCGGGAUCGCAUGGUUCUGCAGUCAAAGGUGGCCUCUGCUUGCAAGCUACCACUCAAAGAUGG